rnacentral:rRNA from 1 species
GGGCGAUUGGGCCGAGUUUGAUCCUGGCUCAGAGCGAACGCUGGCGGCAGGCUUAACACAUGCAAGUCGAGCGGGCGUAGCAAUACGUCAGCGGCAGACGGGUGAGUAACGCGUGGGAACGUACCUUUUGGUUCGGAACAACCCAGGGAAACUUGGGCUAAUACCGGAUAAGCCCUUACGGGGAAAGAUUUAUCGCCGAAAGAUCGGCCCGCGUCUGAUUAGCUAGUUGGUGAGGUAACGGCUCACCAAGGCGACGAUCAGUAGCUGGUCUGAGAGGAUGAUCAGCCACAUUGGGACUGAGACACGGCCCAAACUCCUACGGGAGGCAGCAGUGGGGAAUAUUGGACAAUGGGCGCAAGCCUGAUCCAGCCAUGCCGCGUGAGUGAUGAAGGCCCUAGGGUUGUAAAGCUCUUUUGUGCGGGAAGAUAAUGACGGUACCGCAAGAAUAAGCCCCGGCUAACUUCGUGCCAGCAGCCGCGGU